rnacentral:rRNA from 1 species
GAUGAACGCUAGCAGCAGGCUUAAUACAUGCAAGUCGAGGGGCAGCAUAAUUGUAGCAAUACAGUUGAUGGCGACCGGCAAACGGGUGCGGAACACGUACAGAACCUUCCUUCGAGCGGGGAAUAGCCCAGAGAAAUUUGGAUUAAUACCCCAUAGUAUUACGGAGUGGCAUCACUUUGUAAUUAAAGAUUUAUCACUUGAAGAUGGCUGUGCGGCUGAUUAGGUAGUUGGCGGGGUAACGGCCCACCAAGCCUGCGAUCAGUAACUGGUGUGAGAGCACGACCGGUCACACGGGCACUGAGACACGGGCCCGACUCCUACGGGAGGCGGCAGUAAGGAAUAUUGGGCAAUGGACGAAAGUCUGAACCAGCCAUGCCGCGUGAAGGAUGAAGGUCCUCUGGAUUGUAAACUUCUUUUAUAUGGGACGAAAAAAGGCUUUUCUAAGUCGUCUGACGGUACCAUAUGAAUAAGCACCGGCUAACUCCGUGCCAGCCGCCGCGGUAAUAC